rnacentral:rRNA from 1 species
UGGUGGAGCGAUUUGUCUGGUUAAUUUCGAUAACGAACGAGACUCUGGCCUAUUAAAUAGUUCGCCGAUUCCGAUCUGUCGGCGUUAACUUCUUAGAGGGACAAGUGGCUUUUAGCCACGCGAGAUUGAGCAAUAACA